UUUAAUAUAUCUGAAAUAUUACCGAACAUAUCGUCUUGGAGCAACAAUUUCAGGAGCAGCAAUAGAUGGAGGAGGAGUGACAUCAAAUAAUUCAGGAGGAGUGAUAUCUUCAAGAGCAAAAGCACUAGCACCAACAUUUGCAGCCGCAAUAACAAAAUCUCUUCUAGCUUGUUGCAAAUCUGCUAAUUUACUUUGAACUGCUGCAGAUUCUGCAGCAUCUUGCUCAUUAAGAGUUUCACUGUCAAAAGUGAUAUAUGCUUUGUUAUUAUUGCAGAAAAAAAAAUUUUUAUAAAAUCACCUGAUCACUUGAAUUGAACGAUUAACUGCUUGUGAUAUUUGUGUUUCCUCUACAGGUGGUUGUGCUACACUAAUAAUAGUAGUACGUUCUUCAUUUACUGCUCCAGGAGGUACAGGUUUUUUAGGAGUAACAGGUCUCCUAGGAGGAGAAGGUACACGGGGUACACUAGGUCCAGCAACUGGACUUACAGGUCGUGGAGUUACAGCCGGAGGUGCGCGUGGAGGAGGACGUCUUGGUGCUUGUUUUACUCUAGCUAACAUUGCUUUAGUCAUUGCUGGUCUAGUGAAGUCCAGUUUUUUUGGUUCAGGCCUAAUGUGCCGUCUGCGUACUUUUGGUUCUGGUGGUGGUCUUGCAGCUCUUUCUUGCCUUUCAAGCUCUCUGGCAGUUCUGGCUUGACGAAGUUGUUCAGUUCUUGUUAGACCUGGACGUCGACUCAUUUUGUCCUUUAUAAAUUAAUGAUAGGAAAAUAGA